rnacentral:rRNA from 1 species
AUUGAACGCUGGCGGCAUGCUUUACACAUGCAAGUCGAACGGUAACAGGCCGCAAGGUGCUGACGAGUGGCGAACGGGUGAGUAAUGCAUCGGAACGUGCCCAGUCGUGGGGGAUAACUACUCGAAAGAGUAGCUAAUACCGUAUACGAUCUAUGGAUGAAAGCGGGGGACCGUAAGGCCUCGCGCGAUUGGAGCGGCCGAUGUCAGAUUAGGUAGUUGGUGGGGUAAAGGCUCACCAAGCCAACGAUCUGUAGCUGGUCUGAGAGGACGACCAGCCACACUGGGACUGAGACACGGCCCAGACUCCUACGGGAGGCAGCAGUGGGGAAUCUUGGACAAUGGGCGCAAGCCUGAUCCAGCAAUGCCGCGUGCAGGAAGAAGGCCUUCGGGUUGUAAACUGCUUUUGUACGGAACGAAACGGCUCUGGUUAAUACCCGGGGCUAAUGACGGUACCGUAAGAAUAAGCACCGGCUAACUACGUG